CCUACGGGAGGCAGCAGUGAGGAAUAUUGGUCAAUGGACGCAAGUCUGAACCAGCCAUGCCGCGUGAAGGAAGACGGCUCUAUGAGUUGUAAACUUCUUUUGUAAGGGGGUAAAAUCAGACACGAGUGCCUGUCUGAAAGUACUUUACGAAUAAGGAUCGGCUAACUCCGUGCCAGCAGCCGCGGUAAUACGGAGGAUUCAAGCGUUAUCCGGAUUUAUUGGGUUUAAAGGGUGCGUAGGCGGGCGGUUAAGUUAGGGGUGAAAUCCCGAGGCUCAACUUCGGAAUUGCCUUUGAUACUGGUCGGCUUGAGAGUAGGUGAGGUAGGCGGAAU
rnacentral:rRNA from 1 species